GGGAUAACAGUUAGAAAUGACUGCUAAUACCGCAUAAGCACACAGAACCGCAUGGUUCGGGGUGAAAAGCCGAGACGGUAUGAGAUGGACCCGCGUCUGAUUAGCUAGUUGGAGGGGUAACGGCCCACCAAGGCAACGAUCAGUAGCCGACCUGAGAGGGUGACCGGCCACAUUGGGACUGAGACACGGCCCAAACUCCUACGGGAGGCAGCAGUGGGGGAUAUUGCACAAUGGGGGAAACCCUGAUGCAGCGACGCCGCGUGAGUGAAGAAGUAUUUCGGUAUGUAAAGCUCUAUCAGCAGGGAAGAAAAAAGACGGUACCUGACUAAGAAGCCCCGGCUAACUACGUGCCAGCAGCCGCGGUAAUACGUAGGGGGCAAGCGUUAUCCGGAUUUACUGGGUGUAAAGGGAGCGUAGACGGCAAUACAAGUCGGAAGUGAAAUACCCGGGCUUAACCUGGGAACUGCUUUGGAAACUGUAUGGCUGGAGUGCUGGAGAGGUAAGCGGAAUUCCUAGUGUAGCGGUGAAAUGCGUAGAUAUUAGGAGGAACACCAGUGGCGAAGGCGGCUUACUGGACAGUAACUGACGUUGAGGCUCGAAAGCGUGGGGAGCAAACAGGAUUAGAUACCCUGGUAGUCCACGCUGUAAACGAUGAAUACUAGGUGUUGGGUGCCAAAGGCUCCCGGUGCCGUCG
rnacentral:rRNA from 1 species